rnacentral:rRNA from 1 species
CACGUAGGGCGCAAGCGUUGUCCGGAAUGAUUGGGCGUAAAGAGCUCGUAGGCGGUCUGUCACGUCGGCUGUGAAAUCCCGAGGCUCAACCUCGGGUCUGCAGUCGAUACGGGCAAACUAGAGUAUUGCAGGGGAGACUGGAAUUCCUGGUGUAGCGGUGAAAUGCGCAGAUAUCAGGAGGAACACCGGUGGCGAAGGCGGGUCUCUGGGCAAUAACUGACGCUGAGGAGCGAAAGCGUGGGGAGCGAACAGG